UUCCUUUGGUCCGUUUUCAUAACUAUGGUUUUCGUAACUGGCUGCCAAAGAAGAUUUAUUUUUCCUGUUUCAUAAUUAAUUAUCAAACAAGAAUUCACUUUCUGCUUUCGUAAUCGAGUAUUUUUUCUUCGUUCGUAAUUAAUUAUCAAAACUUAUUACUUUUUCUUUUUUCAUAAUUGGACAUUUUCGUUUAGUUGAAAACAAAAUAACUACCGGGCACUGCGUUGAGAUUAUUGCUCCAUUUAUGUAUUAGAUUAGACUAAGAAGAAUUAUUACGAAGUGAAAAUUAUAUUUUUUGUUAACGGAAGUUAGGUCAUAUUUUUCUUUUAUUUUACUGUUCCUAAGGGUACUCUGUUUUAACAAGCUUUUGUAUCUAUACAAAUCUAGAAAAUUAAAGUAGAUGAUUUACAAUA